rnacentral:rRNA from 1 species
GGCAAAUCACUCCCGUUCCUUCGGUUUAAGGGAGACCCCCGAUGGUGAACACACUUGCUGUGGGAGCUUUUGGGGGUGGCACAGACCAGGGGGUAGCGACUGUUUACCAAAAACACAGGUGCAUGCGAAGGCGCAAGCCGCUGUAUAUGCACUGACGCCUGCCCGGUGCCGGAAGGUUAAGAGGAUCCGUCAGCCCCUUUUGGGGUGAAGCGGUGAAUUCAAGCCCCGGUAAACGGCGGUGGUAACUAUAACCAUCCUAAGGUAGCGAAAUUCCUUGUCGGGUAAGUUCCGACCUGCACGAAUGGCGUAACGACUUCCCCACUGUCUCGACCAGGAGCUCGGCGAAAUUGCAGUACGAGUAAAGAUGCUCGUUAAGCGCAGAAGGACGAAAAGACCCCGGGACCUUUACUAUACCUUGGUAUUGGCAUUAGGCGCGGAUUGUGUAGCAUAGGCGGGAGGCUUCGAGGCGGGUGCGCCAGCAUCCGCGGAGCCGCAAGGUGAAAUACCGCUCUGUUCUCGUUUGACGUCUCACCUCGAACAGUCAUCCUGUUCAGGGACAGUGCCUGGCGGGUAGUUUAACUGGGGCGGUUGCCUCCCAAAGAGUAACGGAGGCGCUCAAAGGUCCGCUCAGCCCGGUUGGCAAUCGGGUUUCGAGUGUAAUCGCACAAGCGGGCUUGACUGCGAGAACGACGGUUCGGGCAGGGACGAAAGUCGGAGAUAGUGAUCCGGUGCCGGCGCACGGGCGCGGCAUCGCUCAACGGAUAAAAGGUACUCCGGGGAUAACAGGCUGAUCAUUCCCAAGAGUCCAUAUCGACGGGAUGGUUUGGCACCUCGAUGUCGGCUCGUCGCAUCCUGGGGCUGGAGCAGGUCCCAAGGGUUCGGCUGUUCGCCGAUUAAAGCGGCACGCGAGCUGGGUUCAGAACGUCGUGAGACAGUUUGGUCUCUAUCCUCUGCGCUCGUUGGAAUCUUGAGGAGGCCUGCCCAUAGUACGAGAGGACCUGGGUGGACGAACCUCUGGUAUGCCGGUCGUCACGCCAGUGGCGCGGCCGGUUGGCUACGUUCGGAAGGGAUAACCGCUGAAAGCAUCUAAGCGGGAAGCCUUCUCCAAGAUAAGGAUUCCAUGCGGCCCCGAGCCGCUGAAGACCCCAUGCAGAACACGUGGUCGAUAGGCCGGACGUGGAAGCCCCGCGAGGGGUGGAGCCGACCGGUACUAACGGGCGAACGCGGCACACU